GUGAAAAAGCAGCUUCAGCUGUAGCCAAUGAUUUUAACUUAGGAGGUAAACACAAAAAGGCUGGGGCCCCUGAACAAGGUACUUGGUUGGUGGUCAGAACAGCACUGCAGACAGUGGAAACUUAAUGAAGACUUUCUGCUUCUGUGGAUGCAGACGAUGGCAGUGAAGAGGAUGAUCAUCAUCAAAGGUCAUCUCACAAUUGAAGGCACGAUGGCAGUGAUGACUUUGAUGUAUUCAACCUGAGAGUGAAAGUUAAAGCCACAUACUUAGAGGUGAGAGUGGGUGUCUAUGUUCAAGUGUGCUUGGAAGGUCACCCACAUCACACGCAGGUUCUGCACAUCGAGACUCUAGUAGUUGAAGAAAGAAAACCAGUAAAACUGAAUACAGGAAGGCUCCAGGCUGGGCAUGAAGAUAAUAUUCCUUCAGAGGCAGUGUUCAUAGUCGGAACUCCACCAAUGCAUGGAUACCUCCAAAAAUUUAUACCAGAAGAAGGCAGCUUGGGUGCAGAUGAAAAGUCCCUUUGACUUUCACACAACCGGAUGUGGAGGAUGGCAAUAUCCUUUAUGUGCAGACAUCCCCCAACCAAGAACAGGACUGUUUUUCCCUGGAUGUGAUGAAUGGUUUCCAAGUUGUGAGCAGAGUCGAAAUCUUGGUGGACACCACGCCUAAGUGGAUUUUUCUGCAGGUACAGAAUUUCACAGUUCAAGAAGGUGGCUCCAGAGAACUUCUAGAAGACUACCUCAAAAUUCCAAGUAAAUAUUUUGAGGGAUUUGACUGUGAAUUUGUUCUACUUAUUAAACCACUGAAACACAGUUAUGUUAAAAGUUCUAAUUUUCCAAGAGGAAAGCUAAUAAAAUUUAUUGGGAAACAG
rnacentral:lncRNA from 1 species